AACGGUCCAGCAUCGACGACCAUCACUGCUGAAUCGAGGCUGUUGCUCUGGCCUGGACCAGUAUCUAUUUCAGUCCCGAUGUAGUCAUAGCUGAUACAGUAAUGUCUGUUCGUCAGCACUGGUCCAGGCUGUAUAUCAGUACUGGAUCAGAUCGAUGCUUUUCAAGAUGGCAGCCCCGCGUGGACUAUCUCAGUGACAUGUUUUGUUAAAGCAAAUCAUCUUAAUCUGACUAUUUAAGAGGAAUCUUGUUGGCUGUAUACACUAGGGCUAAAUCACUGGAUGUUAUGCUAUUUUGAACCAUUUUAUUACAUAAACAUGAGUAGGAUACACGAUAUUUUGAGUAAAAAUAUUGAGCCAAGCAUUGAAACAGAGCCAGAAGACCUUUCUGCAAUAAUCAUGACACUAGUGAAGACAAUGAGAAAUUAGGCGGUGAAUGUAUUAGUGAUCAUGAUGAUGUAGAUAUUGUACUGAGAGACUUAUGAAUGAUAGUCACAAGUGUGAAUUUUUGAUGCGGAAGAUUAUUCUGGAAAUAUUAGUAUAGCCACUAGUAUACAUUCUAUAGUUACCUUAUCUCACUAAGUUUCAAGACAAGAAUAUCUUAGGUUGUGAUGAACUGAAACUUUCUUGUUUAAAGCUCUUGUUAAG